CUACGGGACGCAGCAGUGAGGAAUAUUGGGCAAUGGACGCAAGUCUGACCCAGCCAUACCGCGUGCAGGAUGACUGCCCUAUGGGUUGUAAACUGCUUUUGUACGGGAAGAAAAAAUUUCACGAGUGAAGUACUGACGGUACCGUACGAAUAAGGAUCGGCUAACUCCGUGCCAGCAGCCGCGGUAAUACGGAGGAUCCAGGCGUUAUCCGGAUUUAUUAGGUUUAAAGGGUGCGUAGGCGGAAUAGUAAGUCAGUGGUGAAAUCCUGCAGCUCAACUGUAGAACUGCCAUUGAUACUGCUUUUCUUGAGUAUAGUUGAGGUGGGCGGAAUGUGUCAUGUAGCGGUGAAAUGCUUAGAUAUGACACAGAACACCAAUUGCGUAGGCAGCUCACUAAACUAUCACUGACGCUGAGGCACGAAAGCGUGGGGAGCGAACAGGAUUAGAUACCCCAGUAGUC
rnacentral:rRNA from 1 species